UCUAAUCAUUUGAAGAAAUGCUUCAACCAAGACCCUUUUUGUAUGAAGCCAUGUUAUUUGUAUGGUUGGAUGGGCCACAAACAAAACAUAAAAACUCUUCCUAAGUUUUGUUGUGAAUAAUAUAGCAUUUCAGAUUAGUUUGCCUAAAUUCCAUGGGUUAACAUUCAUUUACAUGUCUACUUAUGAUAUUUAUGUCACUCAACAUUAAUUUGCUAUAGGCUAUGGUGGGUUUACUAGAAAAGAAGAUUGAAGAAAUGCAAUUGGAAGAGAUGCAGCUUCAAUUGAAAGAAACCGAAAAGAUGCUAGUGAAGGAACAAGAGGCUAUUGACGUAGAGUCAAAGAUAAUUCAAUUGAAGACUGACAUGCAGAUGUUCUUGUAGUUUCUUUGUUAACUUUCUUAGACUGUUAAGCUAGAAUUAAGCUUUAGCUUCAAUGGGUUCUGCCAUUUCCAAACAAACUUAGUUAUGUAUAAGAUUUCCAUCCACCACCAAUGGAUGGUUGGAUAUCAACAGAGUCUCAUUUAGAAAUGAGAACUCAUGAAUCUUGUUGUGGAAUUAUUCAAAGUUCUCCAAUUUUAUCUUUGUUAAAAUUGUAGUUUUAAUUGGAAAGGGGCGUAGUGGCCUAGAUAUCUAUAGAGAUAUAAUUUCAAAGUUAGCCAAAGAAGUCCACUUGACAUCAAGAUCCACAAAGGUUGAAGUUGUGAAGUUGCAGAGCCAUGAUAAUAUUGUUCAAACAUUGCACGUGGGUAUCCCAUCCAACUGGAUAGAGCCUACCUGAAAAUUAGAAACUUCCUUUUUGACUGAUAAGUAUGUUGUUCACCAAACAUACUUAUCUACUGAAUAAAUAAUAACCAAGAUAAGGUACUUUAGGCAUAAGUAGCUUAUGUAAAGUAACUUAUGGUCGAAAUGCCUCCUUUCUAGAUGGUUAAAAAUGAAAAAUACUUAAUCAUCCCAUUUUGACAAUUACACCUCCAAGAUUUGACAUUACGACUUUUUAGAAAUUUCUGACUGUUUCCAUCUAAUACUAAUUUAAUUAUUUUUUCCAUGCAACGUGGUCACUUUCAAGGCCAUUCUUUUGAUAUUAUAUUAGCCUUUCAGUUUGUUGGGCUGGCAAAAGCUUAGUGGGGCUCCUAGAGGUACUCAAAAAUUUUAUACAUGGUGUACAUUAACUCCAGUAAAACAGUCUAAAUUGAGGGGCCCACUAUAGAUAGGUCAUCAUCCAAAUUUUAGAUUGUAUAAACGACCCUAACCUCCGACUAUGGGAAAUUGUUUAUUUAACUUGGGCCAUCCAUUAAAUGUCGAUCAACCAACCUCCUAGAUAUCAAAUUAGUGUAUUUUUCAUGUUUCACAAGCCAUCUAAACUGCGACCUACAAUAUGAACAGUUUAAUUUAAGAUACUACUAUGCCACAUGUGUAGUUUCUUAAUGCUUGUGUAUCAACUAACACAUCAUUGUUUUAUUGAUCCAAGCUUUUCAUGAAAUUAAUAAUUUCAUAGUAAAUUUUGUACAUGGGCCUGCAUGCAGAUGUGGAGUUAGGCGGCACAAGGACUGUAGCAUAAGCUCUUGCAAGGUCCAAACAAGUAGAGUUGGCUAUCAAAACUUUAGAUGAGAAUGCAAACAAAGAUCGAUCAGAGAGAGUUUUCCAGAUGACUGAAAUUGAUGAUCUGCAAGCCCCUCAUGACCUUCCUCUUGCACAACUUUGUAUCAAGGUUUGAUUCAUCAUCCUGAGCUGUUUAUAGUUUUGUUGAAAACUUAAAUGUCUAAACAUGUUUGUUGCAUCAGGACACGAGUACUCUAAUUUUUAAGUAUAUGACUUUCUGGCGGUUUAUAUGAUGUUUGUGUUUAUAUGAAUGAAUAUUCCUUUGACACUGCUUAUUGAUUUGAUAAUCUAUGUUAGAAACUAGGAAGUAUUUCUUGUGGUUAUUUCAUUUGAUUGUGCUAACUUAAAUUUGAAUUAUCCAUAGUUUUUUGCAUCAGUUUUGGUCGAUUUGUAAUUAUUGAGGUCAUUUUCUAUGGCCUAGAUUAUCAUAUUUCAACUGGAGUAAAAUUUUUGGUGGAUCUCAACAUACUUUACGUGCAAAACUCACAUUCUCACAAGAAUCACAUGGAAACAUCACAAAGGAAGUUGGACCUGUAAGCAUGAUUUUCACCAUACUAAUAUAUGAUGCUUCAAAGCUUCAGAUGCUUUCAGACAACCGAACAAGCUAUCGUUGUUCAUUAGCCAAGUAAAAGUCAUACCCAAAUCUCGCGUUGUGACUUUGUAUUAUUUGUGGAACCUAAUGUUGUGUAAUAGUUUGAUUGAGUUUGUUUUGAAAACUUUAAAUAGACUGUUGUUAAUUAUUUUGUUGGUAU